GACGAACGCUGGCGGCGUGCUUAACACAUGCAAGUCGAACGGAAAGGCCCUGCUUUUGUUGGGUGCUCGAGUGGCGAACGGGUGAGUAACACGUGAGUAACCUGCCCUUGACUUUGGGAUAACUUCAGGAAACUGGGGCUAAUACCGGAUAGGAGCUCCUGCUGCAUGGUGGGGGUUGGAAAGUUUCGGCGGUUGGGGAUGGACUCGCGGCUUAUCAGCUUGUUGGUGGGGUAGUGGCUUACCAAGGCUUUGACGGGUAGCCGGCCUGAGAGGGUGACCGGCCACAUUGGGACUGAGAUACGGACCAGAAUCCUACGGGAGGCAGCAGUGGGGAAUAUUGCACAAUGGGCGGAAGCCUGAUGCAGCAACGCCGCGUGCGGGAUGACGGCCUUCGGGUUGUAAACCGCUUUCGCCUGUGACGAAGCGUGAGUGACGGUAAUGGGUAAAGAAGCACCGGCUAACUACGUG
rnacentral:rRNA from 1 species